UACGUAGGGGGCUAGCGUUAUCCGGAUUUACUGGGCGUAAAGGGUGCGUAGGUGGUUUCUUAAGUCAGGAGUGAAAGGCUACGGCUCAACCGUAGUAAGCUCUUGAAACUGGGAAACUUGAGUGCAGGAGAGGAAAGUGGAAUUCCUAGUGUAGCGGUGAAAUGCGUAGAUAUUAGGAGGAACACCAGUAGCGAAGGCGGCUUUCUGGACUGUAACUGACACUGAGGCACGAAAGCGUGGGGAGCAAA
rnacentral:rRNA from 1 species